rnacentral:rRNA from 1 species
AUUGCGAAUGCCCGAAAGGGUGACGCAGCGACGCCGCGUGGAGGAUGAAGGCCCUAUGGGUCGUAAACUCCUAAUGGAGAGGAAGAAUGUUCCGCCUCGCGCGGAAUUGACGGUACUCUCUAAGAAAGGACCGGCCAACUACGUGCCAGCAGCCGCGGUAAUACGUAGGGUCCGAGCGUUGUCCGGAAUCACUGGGUGUAAAGGGCGCGCAAGCGGGUGGAUAAGUCGGUGGUGAAAGCUGUUCGCUCAACGGACAAACCGCCGCCGAUACUGUUCAUCUUGAGUGCGGGAGAGGGUGAUGGAAUUCCUGGUGUAGCGGUGAAAUGCGUAGAUAUCAGGAAGAACACCUGUUGCGAAGGCGGUCACCUGGUCCGCAACUGACGCCCAGUGCGCGAAAGCGUGGGGAGCAAACAGGAUUAGAUACCCUGGUAGUCCACGCCCUAAACGAUGGGUACUAGGUGUCGGCCCCGCUCGGUACUCGCGAGUCGAGUCUCGAGCGGGGUCGGUGCCGAAGCUAACGCAUUAAGUACCUCACCUGGGGAGUACGAUCGCAAGGUUGAAACUCAAAAAAAUUGACGGA